CGGCAGGCCUAACACAUGCAAGUCGAGGGGUAGCAGGAUUUAAGCUUGCUUAAUUGCUGACGACCGGCGCACGGGUGCGUAACGCGUAUGCAACCUACCUUAUACUGGGGUAUAGCCCGGAGAAAUUCGGAUUAAUCCCCCAUAGUACUAUUUGAUCGCAUGGUUGAAUAGUUAAAGCAUUGCGGUAUAAGAUGGGCAUGCGUCCUAUUAGCUAGUUGGUAGGGUAAAGGCCUACCAAGGCGACGAUCUGUAGCGGGUCUGAGAGGAUGAUCCGCCACACUGGGACUGAGACACGGCCCAGACUCCUACGGGAGGCAGCAGUGGGGAAUUUUGGACAAUGGGCGAAAGCCUGAUCCAGCCAUGCCGCGUGAGUGAAGAAGGCCUUCGGGUUGUAAAGCUCUUUCGGCUGGGAAGAAAUCGCACAGGCUAAUACUCUGUGUGGAUGACGGUACCAGCACAAGAAGCACCGGCUAACUACGUG
rnacentral:rRNA from 1 species